CUUCAAUACCAACAUGUUCUCUGUAGCUCUGCUGCUGCUGCUGGCUGCUGGAUCCUGUGUGAAGUGUGAACAGUUGACACAGCCAGCCUCUGUGACUGUGCAGUCAUGUCAACGUCUGACCAUCACCUGUCAGGUCUCUUAUUCUGUUAGCAGCCACCACACAAACUGGAUCAGACAGCCUGCAGGGAAAGGACUGGAGUGGAUUGGAGCUGCACGUGUUGGAUACACAACAAAUUACAAAGAUUCACUGAAGAACAAAUUCAGUAUUGAUUUGGACUCUUCCAGCAACACAGUGACUCUAAAUGGACAGAAUGUGCAGCCUGAAGACUCUGCUGUGUAUUUCUGA